UCUUAACAUGCAGUCGAGCGAAGCACUUUAUUGGAAUUCUUCGGAAGGAAGAUUUGGUGACUUAGCGGCGGACGGGUGAGUAACGCGUGGGGAACCUACCUCGCACCGGGGGAUAACAGCCGGAAACGGCUGCUAAUACCGCAUAAGCGCACAGCAUCGCAUGAUGCAGUGUGAAAAACUCCGGUGGUGUGAGAUGGACCCGCGUUAGAUUAGCUAGUUGGUGGGGUAACGGCCCACCAAGGCGACGAUCUAUAGCCGGCCUGAGAGGGCGACCGGCCACAUUGGGACUGAGACACGGCCCAAACUCCUACGGGAGGCAGCAGUGGGGAAUAUUGCACAAUGGGCGAAAGCCUGAUGCAGCGACGCCGCGUGAACGAAGAAGUAUUUCGGUAUGUAAAGUUCUAUCAGCAGGGAAGAAAAUGACGGUACCUGACUAAGAAGCCCCGGCUAACUACGUGCCAGCAGCCGCGGUAAUACGUAGGGGGCAAGCGUUAUCCGGAUUUACUGGGUGUAAAGGGAGCGUAGACGGCUGUGCAAGUCUGGAGUGAAAACCUGGGGCUCAACCCCAGGACUGCUUUGGAAACUGUGCAGCUUGAGUAUCGGAGGGGUAAGUGGAAUUCCUAGUGUAGCGGUGAAAUGCGUAGAUAUUAGGAGGAACACCAGUGGCGAAGGCGACUUACUGGACGAUAACUGACGUUGAGGCUCGAAAGCGUGGGUAGCAAACAGGAUUAGAUACCC
rnacentral:rRNA from 1 species